GUCACUCCAUACUCAGGUAAAUUUACUUCUUCCCUCUUGUGCACAGUCAGCCCCUCCGGCCACCAUCACCGGCCACCAUCACCACCGGCUACUUUUCAAGUGUCCUUUAGAAAAUACUUCCGUCUUAAAAAAGGGAAAACAAAAAACACUUUUUAACCAAAAAAAAUUUCCCGCCUUCUCUUCAAAGUCUCCUGCAAUUCUUCUCUGCUUCAUUCCCCGCACUCCCUCUCCAGCGCCCUUAUGUGCCGCCGUCAUCUUGAUAAAAACAUCACCGGCAUACAAAUUAUCAGCGUCAACCACCACCGUCAAGUAUUAAUCGAAGUUCAUAGUUGAUUUCGGUCGGGAAUCUUCAUCCAGAUCUGCUCAUUCCGGGUUACACAAGGGCUUAUCUCCUCAAAUUCAAUGAAUUUCCGCCGCGAAACUCGAAAUUCGAUCCGUUCUGUUCAUAACAGGAUGCAUAAAUCAAGGCCAGUUCUGUGAGAUCCCUAUACACACUACCUAGAUGAGGAGACUACCCCAUCUGGUGCUCUAGCAAGAGGAGUUUACUUGGCAAAGCUCGGGGUUUUCACAACUCCAAAGGAGGGGCCCUUUACCAAAGAGGAGUUGGAUGAAGUUUAAGACAAGUGGGCUACUUACUUCAACGAUUGUGAACUACCCUCAGUGUAAUAAAUAGAGCAGUCUUGUAGUUAUCCGUGACUCUUAUAUUAUUUUAUUAUUUAUCGAUUUAAUUAAUUAUAUUUGAAUUAAUUCGUUAAUAUUAUUGGAAAUUUGUAAUUUAUAUCAUUUUUUAGGAAUGUCAAGCUGAUGUUUGGUGAAACAGUAUUCUAUAAAU